AUUUCUUUGGGCCCCUCCCGCAGCAUAUGGAGGUUCCCAGGCUAGGGGUCGAAUCGGAGCUGCAGCCCCCGGCCUACACCAGAGCCACAGCAAUGCGGGAUCCGAGCCGCGUCUGCAACCUACACCACAGCUCAUGGCAACGCCGGAUCGUUAACCCACUGAGCAAGGGCAGGGAUCGAACCCGUGACCUCAUGGUUCCUAGUCGCGUUCGUUAACCACUGCGCCACGACGGGAACUCCUGUUCUCGAUUAGUUUUACCUGUUCUAGACUUUCACAAAACAGAAUUAUAACAGCAUUCUUUUUCUUUCAGCUCUUUGUUCAGCGUAGCAUCUGUGAGAUCUUCCUCUGUUGUCAAGGUAUUAAUAGUGCAUUCCUUUUAAUUCAUCCAUCCAUUGAAUUCACUUUGGAUGGAUAUUUGGAUUAUUCUAGGCUUUGGUUACCAUGAUAGUCUCUGUCUUCUUUAAUUGUCUUAUUUAGUCUAUUUACAUUUAACACCGUCUUUCAAUUGUUUAUUUGAAAUCACUGCAGACUUAGAGAAAUGUUGCAAGGAUAGUUGUGUUCCCCCUAAUGUUAACAUUUUUACGUAACCGUGGCACAGGCAGCAACAACAGGAGAUUGCAACAGUAUGAUUAAGUACUUCGCAGAUCCUCUUCCAGUUUCACCACCUUUUCCCUAAUGUCUUUUUCUGGCCCCAAGUCCAAUCCAGUCCUGAGCCUCACAUGACAUUUAGUUGUCAUGUCCCCUCCAAUCAGUGACACUACCCUGAUGUUUCUCCUGUUUUCCUUGACCUUGAAACUUGGAUGAGUACACUUUCGGACGGCCCCUCCCUCAGUUUGGGUUGACGGGUGUUUUCUGGAGAGCAGGCUGUGGUUGUGCAUUUUAGGCAGGCCACCAGGGAACUCCAGAAGUUGAUUUCUUAAGCGGUGCAUGUAGAGAUUAGAUUUUCAUAAUAAAGAUAUUUGUGUUAAUGAUAUUUUUUCCCACAUAGUCUCCAAUGCCAAGGCAGUGAAACAGGAAAAUAUUAAAAGGAAAAAACAAAAAGCCUGGCACUCUAGGUAUAAGAUAUAACUUCUUUUUGACCCUUUGGGAUAGAAUUUCACCUCAUCAGACAAGGUUUCACAAAGUUUUCAAAGACCCUCUCCUAGAAGUAGAGAAACAAGAAGACAGGUGCCAGGUAUGAAUCACUGUUGAGUCACCUGGGGCUGUGUUUUGUCAACGGAUUAAAAAGUCUCCGGGUCACCUUUCCUUCCACUCUGCACAUCCUGCAGGUUCGAACAGUGCCUUACACGGGUUACAAAUCACUUUCAUAUCCACCGGCUCACUUGCUAGUUCAACUCUGUGAUAGAGGCGUGGAGGGGGUGCACUGGGAGCCUCUUACACAUGAAGACAGGGAGACUGGUCCAAAGUCCCUGGGAACACAGGGGCAGUGAUCCUAGACUUCUGUUUCUGUUUUCUUUUUUUUUUUUUAAGGGCCGCACCCGUGGCGCAUAUGGAAGUUCCUGGCCUACACCACAGCCACAGCAAUGCGGGAUCCAAGCCUCAUCUGCGACCUAUACCACAGCUCAUGGCAAUGGGGGAUCCUUAACCCAUUGAGCGAGGCCAGGGAUUGAACCCACAUCCUCAUGGAUACUAAUCAGGUUUGUAACCUGCUAAGCCACAAUGGGAGCUCUGAUCCUGGAUUUCUGAUUCACAGGCAAUGGCAGGGAGGCCGAGACUUCCUGCUGUGGCGCCGCGGAAACGAAUCCAACUAGUAUCCUAUCACUCAGUGGGUUGGGGAUCUGGCAUUGCUGUGGCUGUGGCUGUAGCUCCGAUUCAACCCCUAGCCUGGGAACUUCCAUAGGCCACAGGGGCGGCCCUAAAAAGCAAACAUAAAUAAAUAAAAAUAAAAGCUUAAAAAAAAAAAGAUGUUCAACAUGAAGAUGACACUCUAAACAUUCUACUUGGCAAAACAACAGAAGCACAUUCCCAAGGGAAUACCAAGGCGAGCGCCAGGAAAUGACAACAGGUCAUCGUAGUAAACGGUGCUCAGUGACACUUCCUUAUUUCACCAAAUCUAAGAAGCUACUGAUUCUAAAAUGCACCAUUAUUCCAUGCCAGUCAGAAAGCAAAGUCCUCCCAACUAACCCAUGACACGUUGACUUUAAGAUGCAUCCUGACCUCAGAUGUGUCCAAACAUGUCUCAGGUUUGAUGAAAUGCAGAAAUGCAAGACCCGCUUUCUCCAACUGCGGUUAUCACCUUCCCCGGCGUCACUAGCUCGUUACCUUAUCGAUACUGUUGAAUAGCGGCAGUGCCGUGUGUGGGACUGUCAGUGGGAAGAGGAACAGGAUGAAAGAAUGAAAGCAUCAUCUGCUGGGAAUCUGCUCAGAUCGGGUCCUACAAGGAAAAUUCUAGGAGCCUGGAGCGGUGAGCUCUCAGCAGCUCCCUGUAAAAGCAGCUCUUACAAGAGUGAAUUUUCAGAUCUCCUUUGUCUACUGCCCGUCAAAAGAAAUCACAUGACAAACGCUCAGCUCUUGGGGCGCAAACCCUGUGCAGGUAUUGGAGCAUCUGGGCGACGACACCCUGACACCUUCGUUUUGUUCAGUGAAGAGUUAAAGGAGGCAGCUGGUGCUGACCACGUGCCACGAAGCGCCCAAACGCACACAAAGCAUCAGAGCAGAUUCUCAGCCGAGCUGCCGGCUGUGAUCCCUAUUGAAAGGAUGAAGAACGGGGAGCUCAGGAAAGCUCAGUGGGUGGGUGAGGUCCAUCGGGUGGAAUGUCUGCGUCAGGAUUCAAACCCACGUCUGUCCACCGGCCCCCAAAGGCCCUGCGCUUUCCAUUGCUCAGGGGACAGAAAGCAGGAAGGGCGGAGGCCUUUAAAGGCCUGAAAAUCAGCUAGACUAAGCCAGAGUCUGGAAGGCCGACCCUCUGUCUAAACAACUGCCCAGCAAACUAUGGACCUUUUGCUGCAGAAGGGCCCAUUCACGUGGGGACCAUCGGUCCGUGGGACAGCUGUGCACCUGAGUGAGGGGGUUUCUGGCACCACCCCAGCUUCAUGUCACGUCUCACCUAAGAUCUGCCUGAGAACACAGAGCCACCAGCCAUGCAGCUGGAAGCGAGGACAAGAUGUGAACACAGUCACCAUGGAAGACAACGUGUAAAGAGGGCCACACGAACGACCUCUGAAUAUAGCAGCCCCUUGCAGCCAACUCCCAGCAAUCAGGGACAUUGGUGGCCAUGGAGCUGGGCUCUGCGCUGCACCAUGAAGAACAGACAGGUGCUAGUAGCCAGAGGAGGGAGCGUGCGUGGCUCGAGCAAGCAUCUGGGAACAGGACAUGGGGGAGAGGAG
rnacentral:lncRNA from 1 species